ensembl:lncRNA
CCAGACUGUUGCUGUUACAACUGACCCAGACUCCUAUAGCCAUGAACUAGCUAACAUUACAGCCAACGGCUAAAACAUUAGCACUAAAGACCUACACAGAAUAUAUCCCCAUAGACAUACAAAUAACACAAUUUAAGUUUGAUGAGUUUAACUGCAAAGCAGAUAAUGCUAUUACAAAUUGAAAUAAAGUAGAAAAACUUACUUUUUGGCAUACAAAUUACUUUUUUUCGUGUUAAAUUGUCUGUGUUUGACAAAAUGUGCUGAUUUUUCACAUGUGAUAGCAGAACUGAAUUGGGCAUGCACAGGAUGAAUCACAUCAUUUGAAACUUAGCCCUGAUUGGAGAAAUUGGAAGUGUUACAACUGACCCACGUUACAACUAUCCCCGGUCUCCCCUACACAUAUUCUCUGUGUUUUAAUUUGAUGCAGGAUGAAAGCAAACAUGUCACACUGAUGUGUUACAGCAUUUUUCUUUUUUUAAAUGAGUGAAGUUAUCAAACCAGAAGCCAAGAGGCUUGAUGUUGUGUCCACUCCUACUGGAUCCCUACUGUCUGUUUAACGAGCAGGCUGUGAAGUGUUAACAACUCAAUGUUGCUCUGAAUUUAAAUCUUGAAAGACUGAAAAAGACUUUGGUGAAAUUCGUGGCUCUUCAGGUGUUCUCUGGAAAUACAAUCAAGCUUCCACAGUGAAUCUAUAAUGAUAACUAGAAAGUGCAUUUUCUGAAGAAACUGCAGUGUGAAUGCUUGAAUCUGAAUGUAUGCAUUGAAAUGAAAUAAUUACUGAAUUUAAGUUAAAAAUUUUGAAUGAGAUUAAAAAAAAAACCCGAAUUUAACCUGAAAACAAAAGUGCUGAACUGCUAAAAGCUGAAGGUUACACAGAAGAAGAAGUUGGAAAAAAGCUGAAAAUGUUUUAAUUGUAAAUUAGAAAAACCUAAGAAAUGAGAAAAGAACAUUUAGAGUCAGAAAACAUCUGAAAGAAUAUUAAAAGGUCAUAUUCUUUGAAUCACUGAAUGACUAAAAUGUGAUCCCUCCACUUGGACCCACACAGUUUAAAAAGUUUACAUCUCUGAGCUUUGAAAGACAAGAUGUUGGAAAGAGAACAACGUUUUGAGGGUAAAAUGAUGGCUUUAACACUGUGGACACAGCAGCAGUUGAAAGAGAAGUGUUUAAGAUGAAUCUUGGCAGAGUGAGAGAGAGAGCUCGUUAAGCAGGCAGGUGUGAGCCUGGUUGCUAUAGUGACCGCACCCAAUGGCUCCAUACACACGCACACAGACAUGCGCCUCACUUUUGCUGCUUAAAAUGAACAGAAAAGUCAGGCCGAAACAAAUCGUUCCCAUAUGAAAAUAAAAGUCGUAUUGACAAAAUUCUUUCACCGUGAGCGACAGCAAUGUCUAGUCUACCUAAUUCUCAGUUUUCAUGCCUGUGGAGCUUAUUAUAUGGACGUGGUGACAGUGGAAAGACACCAUGCUCUUCUGAUUUUCAAACGAACCUUCUGAGCCAUUUUAACAUUAGAGUCUAUGGAAGAGUUGGAGGGAGGAGG